AGUGAACGCUGGCGGUAGGCCUAACACAUGCAAGUCGAACGGCAGCACAGUAAGAGCUUGCUCUUACGGGUGGCGAGUGGCGGACGGGUGAGGAAUACAUCGGAAUCUACUUUUUCGUGGGGGAUAACGUAGGGAAACUUACGCUAAUACCGCAUACGACCUACGGGUGAAAGCAGGGGAUCUUCGGACCUUGCGCGAUUGAAUGAGCCGAUGUCGGAUUAGCUAGUUGGCGGGGUAAAGGCCCACCAAGGCGACGAUCCGUAGCUGGUCUGAGAGGGUGAUCAGCCACACUGGAACUGAGACACGGUCCAGACUCCUACGGGAGGCAGCAGUGGGGAAUAUUGGACAAUGGGCGCAAGCCUGAUCCAGCCAUACCGCGUGGGUGAAGAAGGCCUUCGGGUUGUAAAGCCCUUUUGUUGGGAAAGAAAAGCAGCAGGCUAAUACCCCGCUGUUCUGACGGUACCCAAAGAAUAAGCACCGGCUAACUUCGCG
rnacentral:rRNA from 1 species